rnacentral:rRNA from 1 species
UACGUAGGGUGCGAGCGUUAAUCGGAAUUACUGGGCGUAAAGCGUGCGCAGGCGGUUCGUUGUGUCGGCGGUGAAAGCCCCGGGCUUAACCUGGGAAUGGCCGUUGAAACUGGCGAACUGGAGUGUGGCAGAGGGGGGUGGAAUUCCGCGUGUAGCAGUGAAAUGCGUAGAUAUGCGGAGGAACACCGAUGGCGAAGGCAAUCCCCUGGGCCUGUACUGACGCUCAUGCACGAAAGCGUGGGGAGCGAACAGG